rnacentral:lncRNA from 1 species
GCAGCCGUUUGUGGCUAUUGUGAUUGACCCUGUGAGGACCAUCUCGGCCAGAAAAGUAAACUUGGGUGCUUUUAGGACUUAUCCAAAGG